GCGCGUGUCGCCAAGCGGCUAAGGCGCCGGAUUGCAGAUCCGGUAUCGUGAGUUCGAGUCUCACCACGCGCUCCA
rnacentral:tRNA from 1 species